CCGUGGGUACCUGCUCUGGCGAGAUGAAGUGGAUGUGGGUGUCGAUCCCGCCGGCAGUGAGGAUCUUGCGCUCACCGGCAAUGAUCUCGGUGCUGGAGCCAAUAAUGAUCGUGACGCCGUCCGUGAUCUGCGGAUUGCCGGCCUUGCCAAUCUUGAAAAUAUGGCCAUCCUUGAGGGCCACGUCCGCCUUGUAGAUGCCCGUGUAAUCAAGGACGAUCACGUUGGUGAUCACGGUGUCCGGGAUGUCCUCCGCCCGCGUGAGCUGCCCGUUCUGGCCCAUGCCAUCGCGG
rnacentral:sRNA from 1 species